rnacentral:rRNA from 1 species
AUUGAACGCUGGCGGCAUGCUUUACACAUGCAAGUCGGACGGCAGCGCGGGCUUCGGCCUGGCGGCGAGUGGCGAACGGGUGAGUAAUACAUCGGAACGUGCCCAGUAGUGGGGGAUAGCUCGGCGAAAGCCGGAUUAAUACCGCAUACGACCUGAGGGUGAAAGCGGGGGAUCUUCGGACCUCGCGCUAUUGGAGCGGCCGAUGGCAGAUUAGCUAGUUGGUGGGGUAAAGGCCUACCAAGGCGACGAUCUGUAGCUGGUCUGAGAGGACGACCAGCCACACUGGGACUGAGACACGGCCCAGACUCCUACGGGAGGCAGCAGUGGGGAAUGUUGGACAAUGGGCGAAAGCCUGAUCCAGCAAUGCCGCGUGUGUGAUGAAGGCCUUCGGGUUGUAAAGCACUUUUGGCGGGAACGAAAAGGACUGUGCCAAUACCACGGUUCGAUGACGGUACCCGCAGAAUAAGCACCGGCUAACUACGUG